UAUUACUAUUUGAACUCAUCUGCCUGAAGUAUUUCUCUUUCUUACAUACUCUCUUUACUUCUUCACACACUGCUCUCCUUUCUCUGCAGCAGUUUUCAUCUAAUUCCCAACCAGUCACUUAAACCCUAGCCCACCACGAGCAAAUACAGAAAAUGAUCUAUCAUGUGUCACUGGUGCAACUUGGACUUGAGAUCUGAUAGGCAUUCCCAAGUAAUGUAUUGUUUGGCAAAUCAGGGAAUUUUACAGCCCAAGGGUAAAGCUUAUUGAAGCAUUGUAUAAGUCAUAGUCCCAAUUAGUUUAAACCAUUGUUUGUUUGAAUUUUAUUUUGGAUCAUGGAUGGAUAAUUUUUAAGUACCACAGAAGGUUAUUUUAGUAAGUUGAGACUAUAACUUCCUAGUAGAUACUUAGUCCAUGUGUUCCUUAAAGUGUUUGUGUUAUUAGAAAAAAUUCUUUUGGAGUCCUAGGCCUAAUAAAACAUUAAAGAGUCCCUAUGAAUGUCCAUAAAUCUUACUAUUUUCUUGGAGUUUGAAAAUAGAAUUAUGAGUUAUUUUAUUAUUAUUUGAAGACAUGCAUGCCGAGUGAAAACUCCCUCCCUCUCUCUCACACACAUAAACAAUCCCAAAACUACAGGAACCUAUUUUCAAAUUUCAGCCAUUACACAGCCUUCUCUUUGCCUUGCAAAUUGAUAAACCUCAUUCAAUGUAUAAACCUACACAUUUUCUCCAAUAACUUUCAAACCUAGAAUUUCCAAAAUUUUAAGCCUUAUGACAAAUCUGCUUAACAUCUAACACACCAACUUUGGGACCAAUCAAGGGAACUUCAACCACCAAGUACUUGGGACCAAUCAAGGUAUCUCUUGGGUAUAAUUGGGAGGAUAAGUAAUGGAAAAGCUUUGAGCUUAAUGAUGUGGUUUUACAAUUCAAUUGAUAGUGGAUUGAUAAUCAAUAGAACAAUACACCAAUAUAGAAACAAUUUUCAUAUCAAGUAUCAUAAUCCAUAAACACUAUACGCACUAAUGUUUGAGAAAAUAAAAUGAUCAAAACAGUAAGACACCCAAAGCCAACCUG
rnacentral:misc_RNA from 1 species